GGCAUGGCCCUUGGCUGCUUCUUCAUCACUACCUUGAAGCUUUGUCUGGAAAAUCAUCCCACAAGUGUUAGGAAAUGUGGAUGACAGCAUGGUGUUCCAGAAUUACUGAACGUGUUUUACCUGCAGUGAAGAUGCACCAACUGUUCGUUCUCUGCAACACAUGAUGAGGUGCUAACUGCAAUCAGCUCUUUUCCAACCUGGCUUAACUCGCAGUUCUCAUAAAACUGGAGAUGGACCAUUUGGUUUAUUGGUGAUUCAAAUACUAGCAGCAUAGGACUGUGCUUGCCAGUCCACAAACUUCAGACAUUAGGCUGUUCCUGGCCAUACCAGUCUGUUGUAUUACUUCUAAUGGAGAGUUGCUUUGUGAAAAAAGCAGCAGCUGCUCACUGAAAAUAAGUCUUCUCUCAAUACUGUCAGCAAAAUGCAGCCUUUUAAUCAUUAAACAUUUCAUACUGUUAACAAAGGAAAAUGUGUUGUUGACAAUAGUGCUA